UACGUAUGGUGCAAGCGUUAUCCGGAUUUACUGGGCGUAAAGGGAGCGCAGGCGGCGCGCCAAGUCUGAUGUGAAACCCCGGGGCUCAACCCCGGGCAUGCAUUGGAAACUGGCGGGCUGGAGUGCCGGAGAGGUAAGCGGAAUUCCUAGUGUAGCGGUGAAAUGCGUAGAUAUUAGGAGGAACACCAGUGGCGAAGGCGGCUUUCUGGACUGAAACUGACGCUGAGGCACGAAAGCGUGGGGAGCGAACAGG
rnacentral:rRNA from 1 species